GAUGAAGAACGCAGCGAAAUGCGAUAAGUAAUGUGAAUUGCAGAAUUCAGUGAAUCAUCGAAUCUUUGAACGCACAUUGCGCCCGCCAGUAUUCUGGCGGGCAUGCCUGUCCGAGCGUCAUUUCAACCCUCGGGCCCCCCUCUGCGGGCGGCCCGGCGUUGGGGCUCAGGCGCCGUCUCUGCUCGGCGCCUGUCCCCUAAAUGCAGUGGCGGCCUCGCCGCUGCCUCCUCCGCGUAGUAGCACAAACCUCGCGGCUGGAAGGCGGCGCGGCCACGCCGUAAAACCCCCCAACUUUACCAAGGUUGACCUCGGAUCAGGUAGGAAUACCCGCUGAACUUAAGCAUAUCAAAAGCGGAGGA
rnacentral:misc_RNA from 1 species